GCGGAGCCAAAAUAAAAAAGGAAAAGACUCACAUCAACAUCGUCAUCAUUAGGCACGUAGAUCCUGGAAAGUCCACCACUAUUGGCCAUCUAAUCUACAAACAUGGUGGAAUCAACAAAAGAACGACCAAAUUAUUUGAGAAGGAGGCUGCUAAGAUGGGGAAGGGCUCCUUCAAGUAUGUCUGGGUCUUAGAUAAACUGAAGGCUAGCAUAAGAUGUCAGUGGUAUCACAAUUGACAUCUCCCUGUGGACAUUUGCGACCAGCAGUAUUAUGUGGACCAUCAUUGAUGCCCCAGGACACAAAGUCUUCAUCAAAAACAUGAUUACAGGCACAUCUCAGGCUGACUGUGUUGUCCUAAUUGUUGCUGCCGGUGUUGGUGAAUUUGAAGCGGGCGUCUCCAAGAAUGGGCAGACCCAUGAGCAUACCCUUCUGGCUUACACUUUCAGUGUGAAACAACUAAUCAUUGGUGUUAACAAAAUGGAUUCCACAGAACCAUCCUACAGCCAGAAGAGAUACAAGAAAAUUGUUAAGAAAGUCAGCACCUACAUUAAGAAAAUUGGCUUACAACCCUGACACAGUAGCAUUUGUGCCAAUGUCUGGUUGGAAUGGUGAUAACAUGCUGGAGUCAAGUGCUAAUAUGGCUUGGUUCAAGGAAUGGAAAGUCACCUGUAAAGAUGGCAGUACCAGUGGAACCACACUGCUUGAAGUUUUGGAUUGUAUCCUACCACCAACUCGCCCAACUGACGAGUCUCUGCACCUGCCUUUUCAGGAUGUCUAUAAAAUUGGUGGUAUUGGUACUGUAUCUGUGGGCCUAGUGGAGAAUGGUGUUCUCAAACCUGGCAUGGUGGUCACCUUUGCUCCAGUCAAUGUCACAACUGAAGUAAAGUCUGCUGAAAUGCAUUGUGAAGCUUUGAGUGAAGCUCUUCGUGGAGACAAUGUGGGCUUCAGUGUCAAGAAGGUGUCUGUCAAAGAUGUUCAUUGUGGCAAUGUUGCUGGUGACAGCAAGAAUGACCCACCAAUGGCUGCAGCUGGCUUCACUGCUCAGGUGAUUAUUCUGAACCACCCAGAACAGAUCAGUGCUGGCUAUGCCCCUGUAUCUGGUUGCCUCACAGCUCACAUUGCUUGCAAGUUUGCUGAGCUGAAAGAAAAGAUUGAUCAUCAUUCUGGUAAGAAGCUGGAAGACGGCCCUAAAUUCUUGAAAUCUGCUAUCAUUGAUAUGGUUCCAGGCAAGCUCAUGUGUGUUGAAAGCUUCUCUGUCUAUCCUCCUCUGGGUCAUUUUGCUGUUUGUGAUAUGAGACAGAUUGUUGCUGUGGGUGUCAUCAAAGCCAUGGACAAGAAGGUUGAUGGAGCUGGCAAGGUCACCAAAUCUGCCCAGAAAGCUCAGAAGGUUGAAUGA